rnacentral:rRNA from 1 species
UGGGGAAUAUUGCACAAUGGGCGAAAGCCUGAUGCAGCAACGCCGCGUGAGGGACGACGGCCUUCGGGUUGUAAACCUCUUUUAGCAAGGAAGAAGCGAAAGUGACGGUACUUGCAGAAAAAGCGCCGGCUAACUACGUGCCAGCAGCCGCGGUAAUACGUAGGGCGCAAGCGUUAUCCGGAAUUAUUGGGCGUAAAGAGCUCGUAGGCGGUUUGUCGCGUCUGCUGUGAAAACCCGAGGCUCAACCUCGGGCCUGCAGUGGGUACGGGCAGACUAGAGUGCGGUAGGGGAGAUUGGAACUCCUGGUGUAGCGGUGGAAUGCGCAGAUAUCAGGAAGAACACCGAUGGCGAAGGCAGAUCUCUGGGCCGUAACUGACGCUGAGGAGCGAAACGGGUGGGGAGCAAACAGGCUUAGAUACCCUGGUAGUCACCCCGUAAACGUUGGGAACUAGUUGUGGGGUCCACUCCACGGAUUCCGUGACGCAGCUAACGCAUUAAGUUCCCCGCCUGGGGAGUACGGCCGCAAGGCUAAAACUCAAAU